GCGUCUGUGGUUUAGUGGUAAAAUCCAUCGUUGCCAAUCUCGUCUCUGGGCGUUCAGGGAGGAAAGCUGCCUCGAUGGGCCCCGGGUUCGAUUCCCGGCGGACGCA
rnacentral:tRNA from 1 species